GGAGAUUCUUCCACUGUAAAGUUAGGACAAAGGAUUGUCCCCCCACCCCCGCCCAGAGUAUCUCUGCUUCUGUCUGUUUGGGUAUUGUUAAGAUUGGGCAGCGACUCAUGAUUCCUGCCUGACAGUGUAAUUCCUUUCAAAGAAUGCUUGCUGAGCAAACUAAGACAGACUUCUUUUACCGGAGACUCACCAAGAGGGCAGGCCUGGCAGCCAAUAUGGUCUAAUUUCUCAGUGAUUAUCUCAGGUGUUUUGUCAUAGCAACUGAAAGCUGUUCAACAAAGAGGAGAAAACUAAUGUCUAGAGAAAACCUUAUAAAGGACAAGAAUAUGUACCACUUGAGACAAGAUUGUAACUUUUGGAACAAGACUCUAAAUAUAGAUCAAUAAAUGAAGAGCUUCCUUCUAGAGCUUCAAAGAACAAAUGUAUUCUACAUAUGUUCAGGUAUCCACAGAGUCCAGAAGAUAGUGUGAGAUCCCUUGGAGCUGGUGUUACAGAUGGUUGUGAGCUAUUUGAUAUAGGUGCUAGGAACUGACCUCUGGUCCUCAGGAGAACAGCUGGUGUCUACUCCUUCUGUAGCAGAAGAUGACCAGGGGACGAUCCUUUUGCCACAGUCUCCUGAGUGCUUGGAUUACAGGCAUGUACAGGCAGUCAUAUCUGACUUAUGAGGACUGAAUAUAGGGCUUUCGGCAUGCUAGGUCCCCUACCUUCUAAAGUCAGAGGUCAAAGACAAUGUAUAAGAGUUGAUAUCAUCCUGAGUGAGAUAACUCAGGACACACAUGGGAAAGAAUUUCCUGCACACCACCUGAAAUGCACUAUUACCAUCAGAACCACCCACGAUUUUCACUGUAGAAAUCAACUAUGCUUUCUGAGAGUAUACUGAAAACAGACACGAAUGAUACAAAGAAGUUGAAAAGGGAGUACUAUGCUGUAAGAUCUGGGAAUCUCUAUGAAGAGGUCUGCUAAAUACUAAAUGUUCUUCAAACAAGAAAAAUAAAAAAAGACAAGACUUACAUC